rnacentral:rRNA from 1 species
GAGUUUGAUCCUGGCUCAGAGUGAACGCUGGCGGUAGGCCUAACACAUGCAAGUCGAACGGCAGCACAGAGGAGCUUGCUCCUUGGGUGGCGAGUGGCGGACGGGUGAGGAAUACAUCGGAAUCUACUCUGUCGUGGGGGAUAACGUAGGGAAACUUACGCUAAUACCGCAUACGACCUACGGGUGAAGCAGGGAUCUUCGGACCUUGCGCGAUUGAAUGAGCCGAUGUCGGAUUAGCUAGUUGGCGGGGUAAAGGCCCACCAAGGCGACGAUCCGUAGCUGGUCUGAGAGGAUGAUCAGCCACACUGGAACUGAGACACGGUCCAGACUCCUACGGGAGGCAGCAGUGGGGAAUAUUGGACAAUGGGCGCAAGCCUGAUCCAGCCAUACCGCGUGGGUGAAGAAGGCCUCGG